AUUGAACGCUGGCGGCAUGCCUUACACAUGCAAGUCGAACGGCAGCACGGGAGCAAUCCUGGUGGCGAGUGGCGAACGGGUGAGUAAUAUAUCGGAACGUGCCCAGUAGUGGGGGAUAACUGCUCGAAAGAGCAGCUAAUACCGCAUACGACCUGAGAGUGAAAGGGGGGGAUCGCAAGACCUCUCGCUAUUGGAGCGGCCGAUAUCAGAUUAGCUAGUUGGUGGGGUAAAGGCCUACCAAGGCAACGAUCUGUAGUUGGUCUGAGAGGACGACCAGCCACACUGGGACUGAGACACGGCCCAGACUCCUACGGGGGGCAGCAGUGGGGAAUUUUGGACAAUGGGCGCAAGCCUGAUCCAGCAAUGCCGCGUGCAGGAAGAAGGCCUUCGGGUCGUAAACUGCUUUUUUCAGGGAAGAAAUCCUCUAGGUUAAUACCCUUGGGGGGAUGACGGUACCUGAAGAAUAAGCACCGGCUAACUACGUGCCAGCCGCCGCCGUAACAC
rnacentral:rRNA from 1 species